GAAUGGCGGCGUCCAGGCGGUUCAGUUCCAGGCCCGCCUUCUGACUGCGGGCCCCUCCUCUGCCAAGAUGGCCCCCGGAGUGAGUGAGAGUGGGUUUGGUUUAUAAACCACAGUGUGGAUGUUUCACCGGCAGGAAGAAACAGCUGCCAAGUCACACAUCGAGAGCCGGACAGAGGCCUCUUCCUGUGUGUGUGGAAAAACCACGAGCUCUGCAGUCAGAGAGGAUAUUGGAGGCCAGAGAGGGAAGAAGCCGGAGAGAGAAACGAGGUGAUGAGAGAAACACACAGGCAAGAGUCAGAACGUGACAAGAAGCUGAACGAUGGUGGAGGUGCUGCUGCAGGAGAAGGGAUGUAAGGAUCUGGCCUGGGUGGGGAGGGUCCUGUCUGUAUCAGAGACAGGGUAGCCUGAACCUCACCAUUGCCCUCUCCCAGCCCACCCACUGCUGGCUUCCCUGAACGGAGCAUCCAUUUCCUGCGGCUGCUGUCAUAAGUGACCAUAGGCUGGUUGACUUGAAAACGACCCAGAUGUACUCUCCCUCAGUUUAGGAGGGGCCUGUGUGUGUGCUCAGUCGCUCAGUCAUACCUGACUCCUGCAUCUGCUGCAUUGGCAGAAAGAUUCUUUACCACUGCACCAUCUGGGAAGCUCUCUCUUGGUUGUGGAGGCCAGAAGGUCAGCCAGGGUGUUGGCAGGCCACGCUCCCGCCAUAGGCUCUAGAGGGGGCUCCGUCCUGGCCUCUCCCAACUUCUCGCAGCCCCGGGUGUUCCUGGGCCUGUGGCUGCCUCACUCCUGUCUCUGCCUCCAGUCGCCUCUUCUCCCUGCAUUUCUUAUAAGGACACCCGAUGUGGCUUUCUAGUCCAGCCCUACACAAUCUAGGAUGCUCUCAUCUUGAGAUCUUUAACUUAAAGACAUCUGCCAAGACCCCUUUUCCAGAUAAGGUCAUGCUGGCAGGUACUGGGGGACAUAUCUUUUGAGGGAUCACGAUUCACACACUGUGCCAUACAUUCCUUACUCACCUUGCCUGACAGCUCUUUUUGAGCCUGAAUAUACAAAAGAAAUGUGGGAAGUGAGACUGGGUUUACAGUUUAGAAACAGAGGCAAAGCAGAUGUUUGCAGAGCUUGAUGGAAAAUGGUGGGUGUGUUGGAGACGUGGAGAGAAAUACAGUAGAAUGGAAGCUUAAAGGGGCAAGAGAUACACCAGCUUGGCUUGGGGGCCAGCAAGGAAAAGGAGGCUCCUCAUAGCAGACCUGAUAUGUGAGUGGAUUUUGACAGACAGGAGGACAUGAACUUGUGGGACAGGGACAAUCUGGGCAGAAAAACUAGCCUCAGGGAGGCCCAGAGGCAGGAAGCAGGGGGUUCACAGGCAGUGCUAAGAACUAUCUGGAGUGAUGGGAGCACAGAUGAGUGGAUGGCCGAGGCAAGAGGGGAUGGUAGAGAGGGUGUCUGGGGACAGGAUAGGGUGCCUUGAA
ensembl:lncRNA